CCAUUUGACAGUGUGAUCACUGUAACCAUGCUGAAGCUAGCUCUUGUGCUUGGAUGCCUCCUGAGCCUGGCUCUGGCUCGUCCUAAUGACAUGGAACAUAAACGACUUGCUCGUUCAAGCUCAUCUGAGUCAAAUUCAGGAGAGAGUACCACCACUACCACAGCUACGACUACUACCCAGGCUGGGCCAACCACAACCCCCAAUAUUGCCGCACUCAUACAACUACUGCUGCGGCUACUUAGUGGGAACUGAAAUGUCACCUAGAUAUAAGUGAAUGAUACCCAGUAAUUAUUACAGAUGUUUGAUCAGCUCUGUUUUUUUCGGUGUGUGA